GCGGCGGCGGCGGCGGCGGCGGGAGCCGCGGGGGCCCCCUUCCUCGCGGUGGGCCAGGCUCGGACCCCCGACCCGGGGCCUCAGCCGCCGAGCGCGAGGCUCCCCACCGGAAGCCCGAGGCCGAAUUCCACGCUAUUGUCCUUCUUUGCCUGGGGUCGCGUGCUCCCUGCGGCUGCCCUCGAGAGCCCGCAGUCUCCGUGGCCUUGGGCAAGGCAGUCGGCCUAGUCCGCCAGGCCGAGUUUGUGGAAAAACCUAGAUACAUUUCCUUUUCUCUUGAGUAAAUACCUUGGAGAAGAAUGGCUGGAACACAUCAUAGGUGUACUCUGACCUUCUAUCAGUUUCUUCAUCAAGUCAAGCUUUUUCACAAUGCACCUACUCUUUCUUCUAACCUAAUAAGUGAACCAAGAUUUAAGAUUUACCCUAAGAGCGAUGGAAACUGAAAGAUAAGUUUUUAAUCAGAAGAAUUACAUCAUUUGUUUUAAACUUUCAAAGGAUAUCCCUGACUCUCAAUGGAGAGUAGAUUAUACAGGGGUGAAAAUGGAGUAGGGAG
rnacentral:lncRNA from 1 species